GAUGAAGAACGUAGUGAAAUGCGAUACGUAAUGUGAAUUGCAGAAUUCAGUGAAUCAUCGAAUCUUUGAACGCAUAUUGCGCUCUCUGGUAUUCCGGAGAGCAUGCUUGUUUGAGUAUCAGUAAACACCUCAACUCCCCUUUCUUUUUUUGAAAUGGGAGCUGGACUUGAGUGAUCCCAACGCUUUUCUCACCGAAAAGUGGCGGGUUACUUGAAAUGCAGGUGCAGCUGGACUUUUCUCUGAGCUAAAAGCAUAUCUAUUUAGUCUGCCUAAAAAACAGAUUAUUACCUUUGCUGCAGCUAACAUAAAGGAGAUUAGUUCUUGUGCUGACUGAUGCAGGAUUCACAGAGACAGCUUCGGCUGGCCUUUGUAAACUCGAUCUCAAAUCAAGUAAGACUGCCCGCUGAACUUAAGCAUAUCAAUAAGCGGAGGA
rnacentral:misc_RNA from 1 species